AGACCGCUCCCUUUUUGGGAGAAAGCCCAUACGGACAGGCGGGUCGAAUGCCGA
rnacentral:sRNA from 1 species